GACGAACGCUGGCGGCGUGCUUAACACAUGCAAGUCGAACGAAGAGCGAUGGAAGCUUGCUUCUAUCAAUCUUAGUGGCGAACGGGUGAGUAACGCGUAAUCAACCUGCCCUUCAGAGGGGGACAACAGUUGGAAACGACUGCUAAUACCGCAUACGAUCUAAUCUCGGCAUCGAGGAUAGAUGAAAGGUGGCCUCUACAUGUAAGCUAUCACUGAAGGAGGGGAUUGCGUCUGAUUAGCUAGUUGGAGGGGUAACGGCCCACCAAGGCGAUGAUCAGUAGCCGGUCUGAGAGGAUGAACGGCCACAUUGGGACUGAGACACGGCCCAGACUCCUACGGGAGGCAGCAGUGGGGAAUCUUCCGCAAUGGACGAAAGUCUGACGGAGCAAUGCCGCGUGAGUGAUGACGGCCUUCGGGUUGUAAAGCUCUGUUAAUCGGGACGAAAGGCCUUCUUGCGAAUAGUGAGAAGGAUUGACGGUACCGGAAUAGAAAGCCACGGCUAACUACGUG
rnacentral:rRNA from 1 species